UACGUAGGGUGCAAGCGUUGUCCGGAAUUAUUGGGCGUAAAGAGCUCGUAGGCGGUCUGUUGCGUCAGGAGUGAAACUCGGGGCUUAACCCCGAGCCUGCUUCUGAUACGGGCAGACUAGAGGUAUGCAGGGAGAACGGAAUUCCUGGUGUAGCGGUGAAAUGCGCAGAUAUCAGGAGGAACACCGGUGGCGAAGGCGGUUCUCUGGGCAUUACCUGACGCUGAGGAGCGAAAGUGUGGGGAGCGAACAGG
rnacentral:rRNA from 1 species